rnacentral:rRNA from 1 species
AGAGUUUGAUCCUGGCUCAGGACGAACGCUGGCGGCGUGGAUUAGGCAUGCAAGUCGAACGGUAUCAUCCUUUCGGGGAUGAGAGAGUGGCGAACGGGUGAGUAACACGUAGGUGAUCUACCCUCAAGACGGGGACAACCCAGGGAAACUUGGGCUAAUACCGGAUGUGAGCUAUCGUGAGAUAGUUUGAAAGGUGGCUUCGGCUGCCGCUUGAGGAUGAGCCUGCGU